AAGCAGGGGAUCGCAAGACCUUGCGCUGAUUGAGCGGCCGAUAUCAGAUUAGCUAGUUGGUGAGGUAAGAGCUCACCAAGGCAACGAUCUGUAGCGGGUCUGAGAGGAUGAUCCGCCACACUGGAACUGAGACACGGUCCAGACUCCUACGUGAGGCAGCAGUGGGGAAUUUUGGACAAUGGGGGCAACCCUGAUCCAGCCAUGCCGCGUGAGUGAAGAAGGCCUUCGGGUUGUAAAGCUCUUUCAGCCGGGAAGAAAAUGCAUGGGUUAAUACCCUGUGCAGAUGACGGUACCGGAAUAAGAAGCACCGGCUAACUACGUGCCAGCAGCCGCGGUAAUACGUAGGGUGCGAGCGUUAAUCGGAAUUACUGGGCGUAAAGCGUGCGCAGGCGGUUUUGUAAGACAGGCGUGAAAUCCCCGGGCUUAACCUGGGAACUGCGUUUGUGACUGCAAGGCUAGAGUACGGCAGAGGGGGGUGGAAUUCCACGUGUAGCAGUGAAAUGCGUAGAGAUGUGGAGGAACACCAAUGGCGAAGGCAGCCCCCUGGGUCGAUACUGACGCUCAUGCACGAAAGCGUGGGUAGCAAACAGGAUUAGAUACCCUGGUAGUCCACGCCCUAAACGAUGUCAACUAGGUGUUGGGAGGGUAAAACCUUUUAGUACCGUAGCUAACGCGAGAAGUUGACCGCCUGGGGAGUACGGCCGCAAGGUUAAAACUCAAAGGAAUUGACGGGGACCCGCACAAGCGGUGGAUGAUGUGGAUUAAUUCGAUGCAACGCGAAAAACCUUACCUACCCUUGACAUGUCAGGAACUUGCCAGAGAUGGCUUGGUGCCCGAAAGGGAACCUGAACACAGGUGCUGCAUGGCUGUCGUCAGCUCGUGUCGUGAGAUGUUGGGUUAAGUCCCGCAACGAGCGCAACCCUUGUCGUUAAUUGCCAUCAUUCAGUUGGGCACUUUAACGAGACUGCCGGUGACAAACCGGAGGAAGGUGGGGAUGACGUCAAGUCCUCAUGGCCCUUAUGGGUAGGGCUUCACACGUCAUACAAUGGUCGGUACAAAGGGUCGCCAACCCGCGAGGGGGAGCCAAUCCCAUAAAGCCGAUCGUAGUCCGGAUUGUAGGCUGCAACUCGCCUGCAUGAAGUCGGAAUCGCUAGUAAUCGUGGAUCAGCAUGUCACGGUGAAUACGUUCCCGGGUCUUGUACACACCGCCCGUCACACCAUGGGAGCGGGUUCCGCCAGAAGUAGGUAGCCUAACCGCAAGGGGGGCGCUUACCACGGCGG
rnacentral:rRNA from 1 species